rnacentral:rRNA from 1 species
GAUGAACGCUGGCGGCGUGCCUAAUACAUGCAAGUCGAGCGAACGGACGAGAAGCUUGCUUCUCUGAUGUUAGCGGCGGACGGGUGAGUAACACGUGGAUAACCUACCUAUAAGACUGGGAUAACUUCGGGAAACCGUAGCUAAUACCGGAUAAUAUUUUGAACCGCAUGGUUCAAAAGUGAAAGACGGUCUUGCUGUCACUUAUAGAUGGAUCCGCGCUGCAUUAUCUAGUUGGUAAGGUAACGGCUUACCAAGGCAACGAUGCAUAGCCGACCUGAGAGGGUGAUCGGCCACACUGGAACUGAGACACGGUCCAGACUCCUACGGGAGGCAGCAGUAGGGAAUCUUCCGCAAUGGGCGAAAGCCUGACGGAGCAACGCCGCGUGAGUGAUGGAGGUCUUCGGAUCGUAAAACUCUGUUAUUAGGGAAGAACAUAUGUGUAAGUAACUGUGCACAUCUUGACGGUACCUAAUCAGAAAGCCACGGCUAACUACGUG